GGCUGAAUGGUUUAGUGGUAUAAUUCUUGCUUUGGGUCCUUUACCUUGAAUGUAAGAGGUCCUGGGUUCAAUUCCCAGUUCAGCCC
rnacentral:tRNA from 1 species